AAUAAGAUGCCUGAAAUAAAAGGGCUAUCUUGAUAGGAUAGAUAAUGUAAAUUUUUACUCUUAUUA
rnacentral:tRNA from 1 species